rnacentral:sRNA from 1 species
UGAUGUUUACCAGUCUACUGUAUUUGGGAGAAUUUGAUAGAGAAGAUGAAGACCCAGAAUAUAAACCAACCAGAACACCAUUCAAAGAUGAAAUAGAUGAAUUUGCAAAUUCUCCUCCAGAGGAUAAGGAAGAAUCCAUGGAAAUACAUGCGACAGGCAAGCACAGUGAGAGUAAUGCUGAGUUAGGCCAACUUUACUGGCCUAACACUUCAACCCUGACUACACGUCUGCGCCGGCUCAUUACUGCCUAUCAGCGCAGCUAUAAAAGGCAACAGAUGAGGCAAGAGGCCCUGAUGAAGACUGACCGGCGCAGACGGCGGCCUCGAGAGGAAGUGAGAGCUCUGGAAGCGGAAAGGGAAGCUAUUAUAUCUGAGAAGCGGCAAAAGUGGACAAGAAGAGAAGAGGCUGAUUUUUACCGUGUGGUAUCCACCUUUGGGGUUAUUUUUGACCCUGUGAAACAGCAAUUUGACUGGAACCAAUUUCGAGCCUUUGCCAGGCUUGACAAAAAAUCUGAUGAGAGUUUGGAG